CCUGGUAUCCGCAGUGACCAAUCAUCUACACCUUCUCUUGCCGUACCUGUUGUCCUGAAUGGUGUUUUUGUCUGAGUUGUACUAUAAGUUCUCCGGGGCAGGAAUAUGAUCCUGCUUUCUAAGGGUCCAUUUACAUUUACAACAUAAAUGAAUUAAAAAAAGGCCAAGGGAAAGGAAGCAAGCGACGGUAAGCUGCAUGGAUCAAAGAGCUUCGUCGAGUGUUGAGGCUUUGAGGAGACAAUCAUCGAGAGAGUUGCCCUGGAGUCCUUCAUGGAGUGGAGUAAGUCAUUUGUGGGAGGCAAACAGUUUGUCACCGUCGAAGGGGAGAUUCUGAAUGGUACUCUGGACCUCCCGGGGAAAGGAAGAGGACAAGAGCCAUGACCCUCGGUGCAUCAUGACUGCUGUGGCAGUGGACUGUGCCGCAGUAUUGGCCACAUCAAGGGCAGCUUGAAGAGCGGUGCGGGAGAUUAUUUGUCCCUCGGAAACUAUGGCUG